rnacentral:rRNA from 1 species
GAUGAACGCUGGCGGCGUGCUUAACACAUGCAAGUCGAGCGAGAAGUUUUGAAAAGAUUCUUCGGAUGAAAUUUAAAAUGGAAAGCGGCGGACGGGUGAGUAACGCGUAGGCAACCUGCCCCAUACAAAGGGAUAGCAUUUGGAAACGAAUAUUAAUACCUUAUGAAACUUAACUAGUGCAUGCUAGGUAGGUCAAAGAUUUAUCGGUAUGGGAUGGGCCUGCGUCUGAUUAGCUAGUUGGUGAGGUAACGGCUCACCAAGGCGACGAUCAGUAGCCGACCUGAGAGGGUGAACGGCAACAUUGGAACUGAGACACGGUCCAAACUCCUACGGGAGGCAGCAGUGGGGAAUAUUGCACAAUGGGGGAAACCCUGAUGCAGCAACGCCGCGUGAACGAUGAAGGCCUUUGGGUCGUAAAGUUCUGUUCUAGGUGAUGAAAACUGACAGUAACCUAGGAGAAAGCCCCGGCUAACUCCGUG